rnacentral:sRNA from 1 species
AAAACUCAGCAAGCUAGCAAUAUACUAUUGGUUGUCUUUGAGUGGAAAUGGGUGGGAGAAAGCUGUUUAGUUAGAGCUCUUUUGUAAUAAUCUUAGCAUGGAUUGAAAAUAUAGAGGAUCAGUUGAAUGAAAUAUUGUAGAGGCAAGAACUCAGACGUGGUGACCUCCAGGAUGUGGAAAUCUCUAAGAUGACAGUGACCUAUCACUAUCGCAAUUCAUUAACUAUACAUUCACCACUGAGCAAAUGUUUGAAAUUAUGUUAAUUUUGACAGGUACAAAAUCAACAUGCAAAAGAAGAGUCUCUUGCUGAUGAUCUUUUUAGAUACAAUCCUUAUUUAAAAAGGAGAAGAUAACUGAGGAUUUUAAAAAGAAGCCAUGGAAAAACUUCCUAGUAAGCAUCUACUUCAGGCCAACAAGGUUAUAUGAAUAUAUAGUAUAUAGAAGAGAUUUAAGUUACAAUGUUUUAUGGCCUAAAUUUAUUAAAUAAAAUGCACAAAACUUUG